CAGAAGCUUCCUAUGUACUAUUUCAUUUUAUACUUAAAACAAUAUUCCAUGCAAAAUGCUAUAAUUUCCCUAUACCUCCAAUUUGCACAUGAUAAAACUGGGCCUCGUAAAGUUUUCACCCCAGAGUUCUCUGCUUAGUAAGAAGUAGAAGGAAGUCUAAACCUAGGUCAUCUGAUUUCAGAGCCCAUAUAGUUAAAAUGCUCUAAAUGCAGCUUCCCAUGGUGAUGGUGACUAUGAGAGCCUGUCACAUAUGAUGUAGGACCCCAGUGCUUCCCUGUAACAUGUGCAAGAUUCCUGUGAUGACGGUGACUAUGAAAGCCUGUCACAUACGAUGUAGAACAGUGCUUCCCUGUAACAUGCGCAAGAUUCCCAUGAUGAUGGUGACUAUGAGCCUUUCACAUAUGACGUAGGACAGUGCUUCCUCUGUAACAUGCACAAGAUUCCCGUGAUGAUGGUGACUAUGAGAGCCUGUCACAUACGAUGUAGGACAGUGCUUCCCUGUAACAUGCAGAAGAUUCCCGUGAUGAUGGUGACUAUGAGAGCCCGUCACAUAUGAUGUAGGACAGUGCUUCCCUGUAACAUGUACAAGAUUCCCGUGAUGAUGGUGAGUAUGAGAGCCUGUCACAUAUGAUGUAGGACAGUGCUUCCUCUGUAACAUGCACAAGAUUCACCCGUGGAUCUUAUUAAAAUGGAAACUCAUAGACCACACUUUGACUAGCUAAGAUAGGAGCAUUUAAAUGGAUGUCUUGGUGACAGUGCUAAGAUGCUACUGUUCAUGUGGGCACUGGCUCACCAUAUUAAUGAAGCUUAGGACCUCCAGUCC
rnacentral:lncRNA from 1 species